UACCAGUUGGGGCAUCUUCUCGA
rnacentral:misc_RNA from 1 species